UGCCAGCAGCCGCGGUAAUACUGAAGGUGCAAGCGUUAAUCGGAAUCACUGGGCGUAAAGCGCUCGUAGGUGGCUUUGUAAGUCAGAUGUGAAAGCCCACGGCUCAACCGUGGAAUUGCAUUUGAUACUGCAUCGCUAGAGUAUAGGAGAGGGAAGUGGAAUUUCUGGUGUAGGAGUGAAAUCCGUAGAGAUCAGAAGGAACACCGGUGGCGAAGGCGACUUCCUGGACUAUUACUGACACUGAGAAGCCAAAGCGCGUGCAGCAAACAGCGUCAGCUA
rnacentral:rRNA from 1 species